GGUAUAUAUAGGACUAAAGAGUUCACUCUCACUUAUAGCUGUGAGGUGGACCUUGAGACAACACGCCAGGGUCUGAUCGGAUAAUAUCUCCUGAUCUCAUCCGAAUUGCCAGUUUGUGAAAUCUAAAUAGAAGUUUCUGGAAAUACAUGGAUGUACUAUUGAUGUACUUCAGCCAACACCCAUAAUUUGAUGGUUUGUUAAGUUUCCACAGGU